rnacentral:tRNA from 1 species
GGAGAGGUGCCAGAGUGGUUGAAUGGGACGGUCUCGAAAACCGUUGUGGUCCUCGUGGCCACCGUGGGUUCGAAUCCCACCCUCUCCGCCA